AGUGAACGCUGGCGGUAGGCCUAACACAUGCAAGUCGAACGGCAGCACAGUAAGAGCUUGCUCUUACGGGUGGCGAGUGGCGGACGGGUGAGGAAUACAUCGGAAUCUACUUUUUCGUGGGGGAUAACGUAGGGAAACUUACGCUAAUACCGCAUACGACCUACGGGUGAAAGCAGUGGAUCUUCGCACCUUGCGCGAUUGAAUGAGCCGAUGUCGGAUUAGCUAGUUGGCGGGGUAAAGGCCCACCAAGGCGACGAUCCGUAGCUGGUCUGAGAGGAUGAUCAGCCACACUGGAACUGAGACACGGUCCAGACUCCUACGGGAGGCAGCAGUGGGGAAUAUUGGACAAUGGGCGCAAGCCUGAUCCAGCCAUACCGCGUGGGUGAAGAAAGCCUUCGGGUUGUAAAGCCCUUUUGUUGGGAAAGAAAAGCAGCAGGUUAAUACCCCGCUGUUCUGACGGUACCCAAAGAAUAAGCACCGGCUAACUUCGUG
rnacentral:rRNA from 1 species